CUCUUCCCAUCUAACAACUUUAAUAUACGCUAUUGGAGCUGGAAUUACCGCGGCUGCUGGCACCAGACUUGCCCUCCAAUAGAUCCUCGUUAAAGGAUUUAAAUUGUACUCAUUCCAAUUACGGGGCCUCAA